CGCUAGCUACAGGCUUAACACAUGCAAGUCGAGGGGCAGCAUGGUCUUAGCUUGCUAAGGCCGAUGGCGACCGGCGCACGGGUGAGUAACACGUAUCCAACCUGCCGUCUACUCUUGGACAGCCUUCUGAAAGGAAGAUUAAUACAAGAUGGCAUCAUGAGUCCGCAUGUUCACAUGAUUAAAGGUAUUCCGGUAGACGAUGGGGAUGCGUUCCAUUAGAUAGUAGGCGGGGUAACGGCCCACCUAGUCUUCGAUGGAUAGGGGUUCUGAGAGGAAGGUCCCCCACAUUGGAACUGAGACACGGUCCAAACUCCUACGGGAGGCAGCAGUGAGGAAUAUUGGUCAAUGGGCGCAGGCCUGAACCAGCCAAGUAGCGUGAAGGAUGACUGCCCUAUGGGUUGUAAACUUCUUUUAUAAAGGAAUAAAGUCGGGUAUGUAUACCCGUUUGCAUGUACUUUAUGAAUAAGGAUCGGCUAACUCCGUGCCAGCAGCCGCGGUAAUACGGAGGAUCCGAGCGUUAUCCGGAUUUAUUGGGUUUAAAGGGAGCGUAGAUGGAUGUUUAAGUCAGUUGUGAAAGUUUGCGGCUCAACCGUAAAAUUGCAGUUGAUACUGGAUAUCUUGAGUGCAGUUGAGGCAGGCGAAGUUCGUGGUGUAGCGGUGAAAUGCUUAGAUAUCACUAAAAAAAGCCGAUUG
rnacentral:rRNA from 1 species